UACGUAGGGCGCAAGCGUUGUCCGGAAUUAUUGGGCGUAAAGAGCUCGUAGGCGGUUUGUCGCGUCUGCUGUGAAAACCUCAGGCUCAACCUGGGGCUUGCAGUGGGUACGGGCAGACUAGAGUGCGGUAGGGGUGACUGGAAUUCCUGGUGUAGCGGUGGAAUGCGCAGAUAUCAGGAGGAACACCGAUGGCGAAGGCAGGUCACUGGGCCGCAACUGACGCUGAGGAGCGAAAGCAUGGGGAGCGAACCGG
rnacentral:rRNA from 1 species